rnacentral:rRNA from 1 species
GAUGAACGCUGGCGGCGUGCCUAAUACAUGCAAGUCGAGCGAACAGACGAGGAGCUUGCUCCUUUGACGUUAGCGGCGGACGGGUGAGUAACACGUAGGUAACCUACCUAUAAGACUGGGAUAACUUCGGGAAACCGGAGCUAAUACCGGAUAAUAUUUCGAACCGCAUGGUUCGAUAGUGAAAGAUGGCUUUGCUAUCACUUAUAGAUGGACCUGCGCCGUAUUAGCUAGUUGGUAAGGUAACGGCUUACCAAGGCAACGAUACGUAGCCGACCUGAGAGGGUGAUCGGCCACACUGGAACUGAGACACGGUCCAGACUCCUACGGGAGGCAGCAGUAGGGAAUCUUCCGCAAUGGGCGAAAGCCUGACGGAGCAACGCCGCGUGAGUGAUGAAGGUCUUCGGAUCGUAAAACUCUGUUAUUAGGGAAGAACAAACGUGUAAGUAACUGUGCACGUCUUGAUGGUACCUAAUCAGAAAGCCACGGCUAACUACGUG